rnacentral:rRNA from 1 species
UCUGGUGGCCAUAGCGGAGGGGAAACACCCGUAUACCCCGAAAGGGGUCCAUUCCGAACACGGAAGUUAAGCCCUCCAGCGCCGAUGGUACUGGGUGAUCCCGGGAGAGUAGGUCGCUGCCAGAA